ACUCACCAAUUGUCACGCUCAACCUAAAGCUAUUGUGGUGUCUGCUUGGUUCUGGGUAGCAGGAUAGUAUUUUUACAGCAAUACAGUGGUCUAAUGGCACCUGACUGGAGAAGUAGCGCCACGCUUGGCUUAUCUUGAUGAACUAACUCCAUUGCCUGGGUCCAGACCAUCGCUGAGUUGACUGAUUCUGGGCUGGCUUCAUGACAUGAAGCAACAUUAUUGUUUCAUUGCUGAAAAAGCAAGCGAUCCAAUGAGCGCCAUUGGAGGACUAAUGCUGUUGUCAAACUGUGUACGCUGGAACCAAUUGUCAACCCAAAUUAAGCCAACACAGAAGGGCAAAAACUCAAAUGGGCACUUAAGGCUAGCUGGAAAAAACGAUGUUCAAUACAUAUACACAAAAACAUUACAUCCAUGUUUGCAUGCACAAAGGGCCCACGUCUUUCAGUACACGACAAUCACUCCACCUUACUUAACAAUCACUAACAAGCAGUUAUUUCAAAGGUACUGAUAGAUGACAAGAACUACAUAGCACAAAUAGAACUGGAAGUUCACCACAGUGUUUUUUACAGUGGGUGCUCAAUAACCCACGGACUAACCACCACUGAAUGAGUCCUCACCUCAGUUCAAAUCUCCACAAGAGUCCAUAUCUAAACAAAAACUUCCUAUUCUGGAUCCUAGCAAGCAAUUCAAUUCAAUUCUAAUCAUUUUGAGUUUCAAUACAAAAGUUGGCUAACGAAAAUAAAAGUGACAUCUCUUGCAUCUAAUAGACAAGUUUAGUUUUUAUCUGACACAACAGUCUGGCCGUUGCACUGCUGGCAAGCUAACCGGCUGUCACUCAGAAUGCACUGGGCUAGUGAGUUCGGUUUGAAACGCCACCAUAGAUAUUCCCUGACUUGUGUGUAUGUGUGUGUGUUUUGUGUAAUGCAGGGUGCAGGGGCUUGCGUUGAUCUCCACAAUACGUUUACCUUACCGUGUGUGUCUUUCUGUCGUCCAAUUUCCCUGCCAAAGUGGCGAAUGGCCUGAUGAUUUUACACGCCACUGCCAACUAUUUACCUGCGGGUGGCGGGUGCUAAUUUCAGACCCUGCUGACAUGGCAAACGGGUACAGUAGUGCAAUAUUAUCAUAAUGGAUUGAAAUGAUGACAAGAAGAAUAAUAAUUAAUGUAAUAAUAAAUGAUGUAAUAAAGCUGAAUUGUCCUUUAAA